rnacentral:rRNA from 1 species
AUGCACUGGUAUUCUUGGUGGAAACUUUGCUACCCUAAGAGUAAACGAGGCAUGGGUUUCAGAGAUCUCUACUCAAUUAAUCUUGCUACGUUGGCCAAGCAAUGUUGGAGACUUAUCACAAAUCCCGAUUCUCUAUGUGCAAAGGUAUUGAAAGCAAAGUAUUAUCCAAAUGGGAGUUUGAUUCAGGCAAGCUUAAAAAAUGGAGCUUCAUUUACAUGGCAGAGUAUCAUGAAAGGACUUGAGUUGUUCAAAAGAGGAUAUAUUUGGAGGAUUGGCUCAUGGGAGGAAAUAAAUAUCUGGAGUGACCCUUGGGUUCCCUCCAGUCUAGACAGAAAGGUCAUUACUCCCCGUGGACAAGCCUUGUUAACUAGGGUCAGCGAGCUUAUUGAUCCAAAUUCCGGUGCCUGGGAUGAAACACUUAUAAGGAUGAUCUUCAGUCUAGUUGAUGCUCGUAGAAUCUUGCAAAUUCCAUUAAGUCACAAUGCUUUCGAGGAUUUUAUUGCUUGGCAUCCAGAUAGGAGAGGAUUAUUCUCAGUUCGAUCGGCUUAUCAUGUGCAAUGGAUGCAUCCUUUCAGGUCCCGUGCAAAUAACUUCUCCCGUCCAGGAGGUUCUGCGAUUCCGGCGGUCUGGCCAACACUAUGGAAGCUCACUAUUCCACGCAAAACUUCGAUCUUUUGUUGGCGGCUACUUCAUGGAAUCCUACCCCUAAAAGGCAUACUCGCCAACCAGCACAUUGGUGCAGUUGGGACCUGUCCAAUUUUCCAUCAGAACUCUGAAGAUAUUCGUCACCUUUUCUUUCAAUGUAUACAUGCUCAAGGUCUCUAG